AGGGUGGUAGCUCAAUUGGUAGAGCAAUAGCAUUUUAUUUUUUUUUAUGUGUCUAGCUAAGGACACAGACAGCAAACCAUUUAAAUAAGCAAAACAAAUAAUUAGGCAGCUAUAUGUUAGAGGUUCGAGCCCUCUCCACCCUA
rnacentral:tRNA from 1 species